GUGACCUGGAAGACCGGGAGGACGAUAUGCCAGGGCAAACAUCCUCUGAGGAAACCACAAGUGUUCACAUGGGGACCCAGCCACACUGGCAAAGAUUCUGAUGAGGGAUCUACUACAGGAGCUUUCCGGUUACAGUGGAGAGGAGGAGGACCCAGAGGAUGUGAAGAAAUCAUCAAGAGUUCCACCAAGUGGUGACCUGGAAGACCUGGAGGAGCAUUUGCCAGGGCAGGCAUCCUCUAAGGAAGCCACAGGGGUUCACAUGAUGCACGGGGACCCAGCCACACUGGC
rnacentral:sRNA from 1 species